rnacentral:rRNA from 1 species
CAGCAGCCGCGGGAAUACGUAGGUGGCAAGCGUUGUCCGGAAUUAUUGGGCGUAAAGGGCUCGCAGGCGGUUUCUUAAGUCUGAUGUGAAGGCCCCCGGCUCAACCGGGGAGGGUCAUUGGAAACUGGGAAACUUGAGUGCAGAAGAGGAGAGUGGAAUUCCACGUGUAGCGGUGAAAUGCGUAGAGAUGUGGAGGAACACCAGUGGCGAAGGCGACUCUCUGGUCUGUAACUGACGCUGAGGAGCGAAAGCGUGGGGAGCGAACAGGAUUAGAUACCCCCGUAGUCCCUGUCUCUUAUAC